AUGAUUCCAGGACCAGGAAUCAUACCAGCCGAUGGGUGGUGGUUUAUCGCUCGUUUAGCUAACGGCGGUCAUUUGAUGCUCAUUCGCACGUACCAAAUUGACCAAACCAUUACAUCAAACCACAUGCAGUACAAUGCCUGGGGCGUUCGUGACAUUGAUGGCUAUGGUUGCUUCGUGUUCGAGAAAGAUCCCAGCUCCGUUGGGCCAGGCGUAUUCAACUGGAGGCGGGUUUACAGCCUCGGUAACCACUCCAUGUUCCUCGGGCUGAAUCAUCCGAUCAUCCAACCAAUCAUCAAUCAUAUCACCGGCCAUGAUUACCAUGCUAUGCAACUUCCAUUCGCCAGGGGAACUGUGUUUACACAUCAUACCAUGGGUUUCAUGAAUCACCAUAUCCAGAGAUUCAUCGACACAGCUUGUUGCCAGUAUCAUAUAACUGGAAUUAAUCGAUGCAAGUCCAAGAAGGAUUGGCCAGUGCUGCCGGCUGGCGUCAAGUUUGAUCCCACGGAUCAGGAGCUGAUCGAGCACCUUGAGGCCAAACGCAAUUCCAGGGAGUUCAAAAGGGGCACGUGGACGCGUCGCAAGAUACAGUCGAAGGUCAGCAUGCAUGCGAUGUGGCACAAGACUGGCAAUACCUUGCCGAUGAUGGUCAACGGUCGGCAGACGGGCAGCAAAAAGGUUCUGGUGCUGCACAGCAACAAGAACUUCGACCAGCAGAGGACCAACUGGGUGAUGCUAGAGCGAGAGAAGGAGCGGGAGCUGUUAUCAGUCUGUACUUGUAGAAUUCUCUCAUUUACUGAGCAGGCCCAGCCCAUGACAACAACGGGGCACAAAGAUCCAGCAGGUAUCUACUGGCCUCUAGCCUGCCAGCGUUAG
rnacentral:rRNA from 1 species